AGUGAACGCUGGCGGUAGGCCUAACACAUGCCAGUCGAACGGCAGCACAGUAAGAGCUUGCUCUUACGGGUGGCGAGUGGCGGACGGGUGAGGAAUACAUCGGAAUCUACUUUUUCGUGGGGGAUAACGUAGGGAAACUUACGCUAACACCGCAUACGACCUACGGGUGAAAGCAGGGGAUCUUCGGACCUUGCGCGAUUGAAUGAGCCGAUGUCGGAUUAGCUAGUUGGCGGGGUAAAGGCCCACCAAGGCGACGAUCCGUAGCUGGUCUGAGAGGAUGAUCAGCCACACUGGAACUGAGACACGGUCCAGACUCCUACGGGAGGCAGCAGUGGGGAAUAUUGGACAAUGGGCGCAAGCCUGAUCCAGCCAUACCGCGUGGGUGAAGAAGGCCUUCGGGUUGUAAAGCCCUUUUGUUGGGAAAGAAAAGCAGCAGGUUAAUACCCCGCUGUUCUGACGGUACCCAAAGAAUAAGCACCGGCUAACUUCGUG
rnacentral:rRNA from 1 species